GCUAUGGUUGUGCAAUGGUAGCAGUGCUGCCUUGUGAGCAUAAAGUUUAGGUUCAAUUUCUACCAAGGCA